AAAAUUGCAAUAUUGAGUAUAGUGUUGUCCAGUCUAAUGGCACGAGGCACAAAGGACAUCCUCAGUCUGUCUGUGGAGCAGCGCUGAGACAGCAGUCUGCUGCUGAACGUGCUCCUCCUCUCUCUGAAGGCCUCCUGUAGACAGUGUGAGGCAUUGUUCAUAAUUGCCUUGAACCGGGACAGAGUCCUCUGCU